rnacentral:rRNA from 1 species
UUUCCCAAAGGGGGGUAUGCGGAGGGAUCAUUACCGAGUUUACAACUCCCAAACCCAAUGUGAACGUUACCAAACUGUUGCCUCGGCGGGAUCUCUGCCCCGGGUGCGUCGCAGCCCCGGACCAAGGCGCCCGCCGGAGGACCAACCAAAACUCUUUUUGUAUACCCCCUCGCGGGUUUUUUUAUAAUCUGAGCCUUCUCGGCGCCUCUCGUAGGCGUUUCGAAAAUGAAUCAAAACUUUCAACAACGGAUCUCUUGGUUCUGGCAUCGAUGAAGAACGCAGCGAAAUGCGAUAAGUAAUGUGAAUUGCAGAAUUCAGUGAAUCAUCGAAUCUUUGAACGCACAUUGCGCCCGCCAGUAUUCUGGCGGGCAUGCCUGUCCGAGCGUCAUUUCAACCCUCGAACCCCUCCGGGGGGUCGGCGUUGGGGAUCGGCCCUGCCUCUUGGCGGCGGCCGUCUCCGAAAUACAGUGGCGGUCUCGCCGCAGCCUCUCCUGCGCAGUAGUUUGCACACUCGCAUCGGGAGCGCGGCGCGUCCACAGCCGUUAAACACCCAACUUCUGAAAUGUGACCUCGGAUCAGGUAGAAGCCCCAGUCC